rnacentral:rRNA from 1 species
CCUACGGGUUGCAGCAGGGGGGAGUAUUGCGCAAUGGGGGGAACCCUGACGCAGCCAUGCCGCGUGAAUGAAGAAGGCCUUCGGGUUGUAAAGUUCUUUCGGUGAUGAGGAAGGCGAUUAGUUUAAGAGAUUAAUUGAUUGACGAUAAUCACAGAAGAAGCACCGGCUAACUCCGUGCCAGCAGCCGCGGUAAUACGGAGGGUGCGAGCGUUAAUCGGAAUGACUGGGCAUAAAGGGCACGCAGGUGGUGACUUAAGUGAGGUGUGAAAUCCCCGGGCUUAACCUGGGAACAGCAUUUCAGACUGGGAGACUAGAGUACUUUAGGGAGGGGUAGAAUUCCACGUGUAGCGGUGAAAUGCGUAGAGAUGUGGAGGAAUACCGAAGGCGAAGGCAGCCCCUUGGGAAGAUACUGACGCUCGAGUGCGAAAGCGUGGGGAGCAAACAGGAUUAGAUACCCGCGUAGUC